rnacentral:rRNA from 1 species
GACGAACGCUGGCGGCGUGCCUAAUACAUGCAAGUCGAGCGCAGGAAGCUGACGGAACUCUUCGGAGGGAAGGCAGUGGAAUGAGCGGCGGACGGGUGAGUAACACGUAAGGAACCUGCCUCAAGGAUUGGGAUAACUCCGAGAAAUCGGAGCUAAUACCGGAUAGUUCAACGGACCGCAUGGUCCGCUGAUGAAAGGCGCUCCGGCGUCACCUUGAGAUGGCCUUGCGGUGAAUUAGCUAGUUGGUGGGGUAACGGCCCACCAAGGCGACGAUGCAUAGCCGACCUGAGAGGGUGAUCGGCCACACUGGGACUGAGACACGGCCCAGACUCCUACGGGAGGCAGCAGUAGGGAAUCUUCCACAAUGGACGAAAGUCUGAUGGAGCAACGCCGCGUGAGUGAUGAAGGUUUUCGGAUCGUAAAACUCUGUUGUAAGGGAAGAACACGUACGAGAGGGAAUGCUCGUACCUUGACGGUACCUUACGAGAAAGCCACGGCUAACUACGUGCCAGCAGCCGCAGUAA